AUUGAACGCUGGCGGCAGGCUUAACACAUGCAAGUCGAACGGGCGGCGGACGGGUGGGUAAUGUCUGGGAAACUGCCUGAUGGAGGGGGAUGACUACUAGAAACCGUAGCUACUACUGCAUACCAUCAGAUGUGCUCAGAGGGGAUUAGCUAGUAGGUGGGGUAAUGGCUCACCUAGGCGACGAUCCCUAGCUGGACUGAGAGGAUGACCAGCCACACUGGAACUGAGACACGGUCCAGACUCCUACGGGAGGCAGCAGUGGGGAAUAUUGCGCAAUGGGCGAAAGUCUGAUGCAGCAAUGCCGCGUGUGUGAAGAAGGCCUUCGGGUUGUAAAGCACUUUCAGCGGGGAGGCGUUACUCGCAGAAGAAGCACCGGCUAACUCCGUGCCAGCAGCCGCGGUAAUUC
rnacentral:rRNA from 1 species